AGUGAACGCUGGCGGCAGGCCUAACACAUGCAAGUCGAGCGGCAGCGCGGGGGCAACCCUGGCGGCGAGCGGCGGACGGGUGAGGAAUUCGUCGGAAUCUGCCUUUUUGUGGGGGAUAACGUAGGGAAACUUACGCUAAUACCGCAUACGUCCUACGGGAGAAAGUGGGGGACCGCAAGGCCUCACGCAGAAAGAUGAGCCGACGACCGAUUAGCUAGUUGGUGGGGUAAAGGCCCACCAAGGCGACGAUCGGUAGCUGGUCUGAGAGGAUGAUCAGCCACGCGGGAGUUGAGCCGCGGCCCAGACCCGUCGGGGAGGGAGCGGGGGGGAAUAUUGGAAAAUGGGGGGAACCCUGACCCAGCCCAGCCGCGUGGGUGAAGAAGGCCUUGGGGUUGUAAAGCACUUUUGUCGGGAAAAAAAUCCCGGGAGCUAAUCCCUUGGGGGGAGAGGGGAACCGGAAAAAAAGGACCGGGCAACCUCGGU
rnacentral:rRNA from 1 species